rnacentral:rRNA from 1 species
GAUGAACGCUGGCGGCGUGCCUAAUACAUGCAAGUCGAGCGAACGGACGAGAAGCUUGCUUCUCUGAUGUUAGCGGCGGACGGGUGAGUAACACGUGGAUAACCUACCUAUAAGACUGGGAUAACUUCGGGAAACCGUAGCUAAUACCGGAUAAUAUUUUGAACCGCAUGGUUCAAAAGUGAAAGACGGUCUUGCUGUCACUUAUAGAUGGAUCCGCGCUGCAUUAGCUAGUUGGUAAGGUAACGGCUUACCAAGGCAACGAUGCAUAGCCGACCUGAGAGGGUGAUCGGCCACACUGGAACUGAGACACGGUCCAGACUCCUACGGGAGGCAGCAGUAGGGAAUCUUCCGCAAUGGGCGAAAGCCUGACGGAGCAACGCCGCGUGAGUGAUGAAGGUCUUCGGAUCGUAAAACUCUGUUAUUAGGGAAGAACACAUGUGUAAGUAACUGUGCACAUCUUGACGGUACCUAAUCAGAAAGCCACGGCUAACUACGUGCCAGCAGCCGCGGUAAUACGUAGGUGGCAAGCGUUAUCCGGAAUUAUUGGGCGUAAAGCGCGCGUAGGCGGUUUUUUAAGUCUGAUGUGAAAGCCCACGGCUCAACCGUGGAGGGUCAUUGGAAACUGGAAAACUUGAGUGCAGAAGAGGAAAGUGGAAUUCCAUGUGUAGCGGUGAAAUGCGCAGAGAUAUGGAGGAACACCAGUGGCGAAGGCGACUUUCUGGUCUGUAACUGACGCUGAUGUGCGAAAGCGUGGGGAUCAAACAGGAUUAGAUACCCUGGUAGUCCACGCCGUAAACGAUGAGUGCUAAGUGUUAGGGGGUUUCCGCCCCUUAGUGCUGCAGCUAACGCAUUAAGCACUCCGCCUGGGGAGUACGACCGCAAGGUUGAAACUCAAAGGAAUUGACGGGGACCCGCACAAGCGGUGGAGCAUGUGGUUUAAUUCGAAGCAACGCGAAGAACCUUACCAAAUCUUGACAUCCUUUGACAACUCUAGAGAUAGAGCCUUCCCCUUCGGGGGACAAAGUGACAGGUGGUGCAUGGUUGUCGUCAGCUCGUGUCGUGAGAUGUUGGGUUAAGUCCCGCAACGAGCGCAACCCUUAAGCUUAGUUGCCAUCAUUAAGUUGGGCACUCUAAGUUGACUGCCGGUGACAAACCGGAGGAAGGUGGGGAUGACGUCAAAUCAUCAUGCCCCUUAUGAUUUGGGCUACACACGUGCUACAAUGGACAAUACAAAGGGCAGCGAAACCGCGAGGUCAAGCAAAUCCCAUAAAGUUGUUCUCAGUUCGGAUUGUAGUCUGCAACUCGACUACAUGAAGCUGGAAUCGCUAGUAAUCGUAGAUCAGCAUGCUACGGUGAAUACGUUCCCGGGUCU